rnacentral:lncRNA from 1 species
GAAUUGAACGCUAGCUACAACGCUGGUAGUGUAGUAGUGGUGGGUUGAGCUAGUAGUCCUCUUCUCCCUCUUCCUACUUCUUCGACUUUCCACCCCCUCCAUUGACCACAGCUAGUUCUUUUCCUCUCUCUCUCUCUCUUACUAUUUCUCUCUUUUUCUUAUUGGCACUAGCAGAGGCAUUGUAAAGCCGAGAAGCAAGCAGUCCACCAGUCUCUGACAGUUCGGUCGAGCGUUCAGUGUGCGCGUAAUCGCGAAACAUUUUGCCUGUUUAGUGCGCUUGCUUGUGCUGGCUAAAGGAGUUACGAAAAAUAAAAUACGUUAACUACAUAAUCACGAGGAGCGGAGGAAGAACCCAGACUGUUGCCGCCGUCUUCUUCGAAACAUAAUUUAAUAUACAAGGAAUAAGAAGCUCACAAAGAAAAAGAAGAAGAAGAAGAAGAUAUCAUCGUACAUCAUUUACUACUACUGGAUAGAAGGAAAUACAAAAAGAAAGAGAAACACAGAGACACAAUAAUAAUAGAUAUAGAAUUAAAAAAAAAAAAAAUUAUAGAAAAAUAAAACAUACCGCAAUAUAAACAAAUCAAAAAGAAUAGUAAGAUAGAUUAAAAUAAUAAGAAGAGAAGAAGAAGAAGAAGAAGAAGAAGAAGAAGAAGAAAAUAAAGUAGGUCUUUUCGUUUAUAAAUAAAAAGAGCCUGUUGUAUAGGCAACUGUAAUCUCUGAAUGAUCUACGACGCGAUCAAAAGUCGUACGCGAGGUAGCACCGAGAGAAUAAGAAGUAACAACAAUAGUAACAACAGUAUAAGUCAAGAUCGUCGUCGUCGUAAUCCUCGUCGUGGGACGAGAUCAUCCACCUCGUCGUGUUUAAGUUCGUCGUCAAGGUUUUCCUCCUCCUCCUCCUCCUCCUAUUUUAUAUCGUCGACGUUGUUGUCGUCGUCGUCGUCGUCGCCGUCGUCGUCGAAAUCAUCGUCCUCGAGGAGCAACGGGAUCGUUUUAGCGAUCAAUGCGGCAUAGACAAACCGGGGCCGUACUCGCGAGCUUCGAGAAACCUGGGGUACGGCCCCGAUCGAGCUGACUAUAGGGGGAAGUCGUCCCUCGAGGAGGAGAGACGCCAAGGGAGAAGAAAAGCAGCACAACUACGGCGUAGCUUAUUAUUUCUUUUUCCUUUCGUUGGGAGAGGACCAAAAGGGAAAAAGGAACUGCUGCUGUUGCUGCUGUUGCCGCCGCCUGCUGCUUUUCCUCUAGGAGGAUCUUUUGGAUACUAUUGUUAAUAUAAAGGAAAAGCACGCAUGCUUCGAAUUAGUCGAAAUCGGUGAAGAUACCUGAAAGUUAAACAAGUGGAAGAAGAGGAAUAGUAUUCAUUUUGAUCUCGAAAGGAGAAACGGCAUAAAGAUGCUCUACGUGUUCCAUGUGGAUACCGGUACCACCAUCACAUUUGAUAUCAACUUGGCCCUGCAAACUGUCGCUCAAUUGAAGGAGGCAAUUGAGAGGGAAUGUGGGGUUAUGGCGUGCCAUCAGGUGCUCCUGAUGAGCGGAGGUGAUAGUUUAGAACCACAUGCCCGUGUGUGUUCUUACUCAGCUGGAACUGAUACAAAUCCGAUUUAUUUAUUCAGUAAGGCUAUCAUCGAAAGCAACGUUCAACCAACACCAAGCAUAGACUACGGUUGCGGUGAGUGAUAAACCUUAUCAUUUGUACAU